CACUGGAAAUAUGAUUGGCUGCCUGAAUGAAACUGAGAUUAGUAGAGGAGGAAGGAGUGUCCACAAGACUGGAUGCAAGGGAAAGAGGUAAAGAAGGGGCAUACCAAGAGGAAGUAAUGAGAGAUGAGGAGGAAGGGCCAGAAUUGGAGGAUUGAGCAGGAAACAAAGUUGAAUAAGGGAAGUGAGAUUCAUGGAACACAACAUCUUUAGAGAUGUAAAUAU
rnacentral:lncRNA from 1 species